rnacentral:rRNA from 1 species
GUGCAGCAGGGCGCGAAACCUCCGCAAUGCGGGGAAACCGCGACGGGGUCACCCCGAGUGCCGCCCUAACGGGUGGCUGUGGCCCGGUGUAAACAGCCGGGGCUUAGAAAGGGGGAGGGGCAAGGCUGGUGCCAGCCGCCGCGGUAAACCAGCUCCUCGAGUGGUCGGGGUGAUUAUUGGGCCUAAAGCGUCCGUAGCCGGCCCCGUUAAGUCCUCGGUUAAAUCCUACGGCCUAACCGUGGGGACUGCCGAGGAUACUGCGGGGGCUUGGGGGCGGGGAGAGGCCGGGGGGUACUCCCCGGGGGUAGGGGUGAAAUCCUGGUAAUCCCGGGGGGGACCACCAGUGGCGAAGGCGCCCGGCUGGAACGCGCCCGACGGUGAGGGACGAAAGCCAGGGGGAGCGAACCGGAUUAGGAUACCCCCCGUAGU